GACGAACGCUGGCGGCGUGCUUAACACAUGCAAGUCGAACGAAGUGGCGAACGGGUGAGUAAUACGUGGGUAACCUGACCUCCUUUUUGGGAUAAGCCUUGGAAACGGGGUCUAAUACCGAAUAAAGGGGGAUGGGCUCGGGGCCUAUCAGCUUGUUGGUGGGGUGAUGGCCUACCAAGGCGGUGACGGGUGGCGGGACUGAGGGGGUGACCGGGCACAUUGGGAGUGAGAUACUGCCAAGGGUCGUACGGGAGGCAGCAGUGGGGGAUAGUGCGCAAUGGGGGACAGCCUGAGGCAGCGACGCGGAGUGGGUGAUGAAGGCUUUCGGGUUGUAAACCUCUUUCGCAAUCGAACGGGUAGCUGGAGAAGAAGCGCCGGCUAACUACGUGCCAGCAGCCGCGGUAAUAC
rnacentral:rRNA from 1 species